rnacentral:rRNA from 1 species
UAGGGAAUAUUGCAAAAUGGGCGAAAGCCCGAUGCAGCAACGCCGCGUGGGCGAUGAAGGCCUUCGGGUCGUAAAGCCCUUUUUGAGGGGAUGAGGAAGGACAGUACCCUCAGAAUAAGCCUCGGCUAACUACGCGCCAGCAGCCGCGGUAAAACGUAGGAGGCGAGCGUUAUCCGGAUUUACUGGGCGGAAAGCGCGUGCAGGCGGAUUGGAGAGUUGGAUGUGAAAGCUCCCGGCUUAACUGGGAGAGGUCGUUCAAUACUUCCAGUCUUGAGUGCAGUAGAGGGAAGUGGAAUUCCGGGUGUAGUGGUGAAAUGCGUAGAUAUCCGGAGGAACACCAGUGGCGAAAGCGGCUUCCUGGACUGUAACUGACGCUCAGACGCGAAAGCUAGGGUAGCAAACG